rnacentral:rRNA from 1 species
UAGGGAAUCUUCCACAAUGGACGAAAGUCUGAUGGAGCAACGCCGCGUGAGUGAAGGAGGUUUUCGGAUCGUAAAGCUCUGUUGUUGGUGAAGAAGGAUAGAGGCAGUAACUGGUCUUUAUUUGACGGUAAUCAACCAGAAAGUCACGGCUAACUACGUGACAG